ensembl:lncRNA PPP1R3B-DT PPP1R3B divergent transcript
AACCUCUUCCUUCUUUAAUCCGGUGUCCGAGGAGUUUUGUCUGCGACUCGUCCUGCUACAUUUCUUGGUUACAAAAACCUCUUCCUUCUUUAAUCCGGUGUCUGAGGAGUUUUGUUUGCGACUCGUCCUGCUACAUUUCUUGGUUCCGUGACCGGGAAGCGAGGUGAUUGAAGGACGGUCGAGGCAGCCCCUUAGGCUGCUUAGGCCUGCCCUGUGGAGCGUCCCUGCAAGGGACUCUGGCCAGCUUGAGCGACGGGCAUCCUGAGAGCGCUCCCGGGUAGGCAAUUGCCCUGGUGGAACACCUCGUCAGAGCAGUGUGUGGCAGGCCCCCGCGGAGGAUCAACGUGGUGGCUGAACACCGGGAAGGAACUGGCACUAGAAGUCUGGACGUCUGAAACUUGUAGGCUGCCUGCUAAGAAAGAGUAGACAGACCCAAUGUCCUCCGAUCAGUCUGGACUCAGUUCAUCCUUCCCCUGGUACAGAAGAGCUGCGUCAGUCAUUCUCUCUGUGAUCUACUGAUAAGAGUCCUGGACGGGGAAUUCCAAGGCCAUGGGUCUAUUCCCAGCCUUGCCACUAUGAAUGUGACCUCCAGCAGUUAGAUCCCCUGCCUGCAGCACGUGCUGAUCUCCAAGGGUGAGGCUGGAUGAAGCCAGGGGCUAUGGAAAGGGAGACUGUUUCAGAGGACUUGACACCAUCUUCAGUAAUUUCUCUGGUUCUUGGCAGCUCCAUUUGGCUGCGUCCCUACCCUGCAUAACCCUCCCAGCUAGUCUACUCCAGGGCAGCAUCCAGCUGGUGACCUGAGAGGGCAGUGGCGCACCAGUCUCCAUGAAGGUUGAGCUCCGAUGGCCAACAGCCAUUUCCACCUUGUGGUCUACAACUCUUCAUCCCGACUGCAUGGAGGUUGGUCUCUCUCUUCAGCUGGAUUUAGGCCACCAUCUGAGCCCCCGGGGUACGUUUUGUCUGACCCUGGCGCCAUUCGAACGGUUCUUCUACAGCAUCAGUUCUCUUUCCUGCCACCAUGUGAAGAAGGACAUGUUUGCUUCCCCUUCUGCCAUGAAUGCAUCAUGUGUCAUUCUCACAGCUGUUAGGACUUCAAUGAUGUUAUAAGGAAGUUGGGGCUCAGAGAAGCUACAGAACUUACCCAAGGACACACAGCCAUCACGAAAAACAUGGCCAGCAAAGCAGGUGAGGCAAAGAUCAGGAAGGACAUUAAACGCCAAACUAAGGAGCGGAACUGAAUGAGCAGUGAAGGGGAACAAUGGCUUCAGCAGGUCCACUGGGCUCCUCUUUUCUGUCAGCCUCCCCCUACCCCUCACCUCUGUACUACUCAUGUUACUAUCUACGUCUCUUCACCAAUGUCAUUGUGGAAAUAAAAGCUUAUCUGUAAGAGUA